AAAAAUAUGGCUUUGGUCUCAAGAUAAGCCAUGCAUGUCUCAGUACAAGCCAAAUUAAGGUGAAACCGCGAAAGGCUCAUUAAAUCAGUUAUGGUUCCUUAGAUCGUACUACACUUACUUGGAUAACUGUGGUAAUUCUAGAGCUAAUACAUGCAAAUAGAGCUUCAACCGGAGACGGGAGAAGUGCUUUUAUUAGAUCAAAACCAAUCGGCGACGGGUCAAACCGUUGUCGUAUUUUUUGGUGACUCUGAAUAACUUAAUGCUGAUCGCACGGUCUUGCACCGGCGACGCAUCUUUCAAAUGUCUGCCUUAUCAACUGUCGAUGGUAGGUUCUGCGCCUACCAUGGUUGUAACGGGUAACGGGGAAUCAGGGUUCGAUUCCGGAGAGGGAGCCUGAGAAACGGCUACCACAUCCAAGGAAGGCAGCAGGCGCGCAAAUUACCCACUCCCGGCACGGGGAGGUAGUGACGAAAAAUAACGAUACGGGACUCAUCCGAGGCCCCGUAAUCGGAAUGAGAAUACUCUAAACCUUUUUUCAAGGAUCAAUUGGAGGGCAAGUCUGGUGCCAGCAGCUGCGGUAAUUCCAGCUCCAAUAGCGUAUAUUAAGUGUGGUUGCGGUUA
rnacentral:rRNA from 1 species